AAAGGCGUAGACGAUGGAAAGCAGGUUAAUAUUCCUGCGCCUAUUGUGGGGGACGUUGGACGAAUAGAGAUCGGGGAGUUGGUUUUCCCCGUACCGCAAGGUCGAGCCCCUGGUUGGUGAAGUCUCUUGAAGUACAACCAAGAAAAGCCCACAUAAUAUGACCGUACUAAAACUGACACAGGUAGGCGAGGCGCGUAGCCUCAGGCGCUCGGGAGAACGCUGGUUAAGGAACUCUGCAAAUUGGCCCCGUAACUUCGGGAUAAGGGGUGCCAUCGCAAGAUGGUCUCAGCAAAGCGGCACUAGCGACUGUUUACUAAAAACACAGGUCUCUGCGAACUCGUAAGAGGAGGUAUAGAGACUGACGCCUGCCCGGUACCGGUAAGUUAAUAAAGACGGUUAGCUUUCGGGCGAAGCCGGCAAUUGAAGCUCCGGUAAACGGCGGCCGUAACUAUGACGGUCCUAAGGUAGCGAAAUUCCUUGUCGGGUAAGUUCCGACCUGCAUGAAUGGCGUAACGACUGGUGCACUGUCUCAAUCAGCGACCCGGUGAAAUUGUAGCCGUGGUGAAGAUGCCACGUACCCGCAGCGUGACGGAAAGACCCCAUGAACCUUUACUGCAGGCUGAUACUGUCACUUGGCAUGUUUUGUGUAGGAUAGGUGGGAGGCUUUGAAGUCGGUACGCCAGUAUCGAUGGAGCCAUCCUUGAAAUACCACCCUGAACCUGUUAGGUGUCUAACGCUGACCCGUGAACCCGGGCGGCGAACACUGUCAGUUGGGCAGUUUGACUGGGGCGGUCUCCUCCCAAAGAGUAACGGAGGAGCUCAAAGGUACCCUCAGCCUGGUUGGCAAUCAGGCGAAGAGCGUAAAGGUAGAAGGGUGCUUGACUGCGAGACAAAUGAGUCGAGCAGAAACGAAAGUUGGACUUAGUGAUCCGGCGGUUCCGAAUGGAAGGGCCGUCGCUCAACGGAUAAAAGGUACUCUGGGGAUAACAGGCUGAUCCCGCCCGAGCGUCCAUAGCGGCGGCGGGGUUUGGCACCUCGAUGUCGGCUCAUCACAUCCUGGGGGUGAAGAAGC
rnacentral:rRNA from 1 species